AUAGACCAUGGCACAGCCAGCAUUGUGGCUUCCAGUGAGCAGCCCCUGGGCCUCCCUGAUGUCCUGGAGGCGUUUUAUCACCUUUUGUCUGUCCUGAAGCCUUCUAUCCUCAGGGCUCAGGCAACCCAUGCCAGCUGUCCAUGUAGGAGCAGCCCUUCCCUGCAGCCUGGACACCUCAGACAGGGUUGGCACCCCAUGCACUGACAGCAGAUAUGGUACCUCAGGCAUCCCUAGCACCCCUGGUCCUUGUCAUUUUUGGGACAAGGAUUCAUCAAUCCUUUGACAGCAUACCUACCCUUACCUGGGUGAUGCAUGCCCAGUAAAUGUAACUUACAGA